GGUUGUUCAGGAAAAGUUAGGAGUUCAAGCUGAGGCAGGUGAGGUUGCAGGGUCUCCAGAUCAGACUACUGAGGCUCGGUCUCCUUUAGAAGAUGGAAGUGGGAAGCAUAGCAAUAGGCCACAUCGGAUAUAUGCUACAGUGAAAGAGGGCAUCAAGGGAAAGAUUCUAUCUUUCCCAAAACCCCAGAACCACUACUCUCGGAUGAAGGGGGAUGUACACAGAGAAUACCUCAACCCUGAUCUGAAUUUGUUGCAAAUGUACCGACUCUACAAAGAGAAGAAUACCACAUCAUCUGCAAAAUUCUGGGUUUGUAGGGACAUUUUCAAACAGUCUCAAUUUCGGCCAACCCAGGAGUGACACCUGUGGCAAAUGUGAUGCAUUCUUCACUAAGAUGUCAGCAGCAACAUCUGAAGAGGAGAAGAGGAAGAUUGCAGUUGAACGUGAGUUGCACCAUCGAAAAGCCGAAAAGGCCGACACACAGCUUCAAAGUGACACUGAGUGGGCUAAAGCCAAUGCUGACUGCCAUGUCAUUUCUGUGGAUCUACAGGGGGUGAUGUACACCCCUAAUCAGUCCUUCAUACACCGGGGCGGCAGGGUACCCUAGUAACCGGAAGGUUGCAAGUUCAAAUCCCCGAGCUGACAAGGUACAAAUCUGUCGUUCUGCCCCUGAACACGCAGUUAACCCACUGUUCCUAGGCCGUCAUUGAAAAUAAGAAUUUGUUCUUAACUGACUUGCCUAGUUAAAUAAAGGUUAAAAAAAAUAUAUUUAAAAAAAUGAUGUUUCAAAGAUGAUACUUGAAGCACAACCAGCAAAACCAUUCAAGGUGAUGAGGAUGCAAUGUGAAGACUUCAGGCACCUCCCAGAUUAUGUCAUCAAGCGACCAGCUGGACUACAGACCACCUCAGUGAGGUGGUAAAAAGUCACAGUUGAGGAUCCUUGGAAUCUGUACGCCAGACAGAGCCACAGUCUAUUUGAGGGAUGGAAAUCGUGGCUGAUCUCCUAAACCAAAACAAGGAGCUACACCUCAACCUCCCUAUUUUGCAAGCCACUGCCCUGGAGCACAUGAGAGUCCUCUGCCCAUCAAAAAAACAAGUACCAAGAUCUGAUGACCUGUGCAACUACUUGCCAGCUGCUGCACACUCUUUUUAUAAAUCACUGCAGAGUGAAUCAUUUGUUGUUAAACCAAGCUACAUAAUUAACCGUUUUUUUUCUGUGAGUUUAUGAUCUCCUGAACCUGGUAUAGUAUGUUGAAUCUGAAUACAUUUCAGAAGACAUGUCACCCCUAUUGUAGGAAAUUAAAUGUAUAGUAGGUGCUUUCUAUGUGAAUCCAUUUCUGUAUGAUUUGAACCAGCACAAUAUAUUGAAUUAAUUUAAUUUUAAGAUGUUGUUCCUCGUGUAGAAAAUGUUAUGUACAAUGUGUUCUGUUGAGACUUAUUUUGUGUGUGAUC